rnacentral:rRNA from 1 species
UACGUAGGUGUCGAGCGUUGUCCGGAUUUAUUGGGCGUAAAGCGCCCGCAGGCGGCUUGGCAAGUUCGAGGUGAAAUCUCCCGGCUCAACUGGGAGGUGCCUCGGAAACUGCCAGGCUUGAGGCAGGGAGAGGGAUGUGGAAUUCCCGGUGUAGUGGUGAAAUGCGUAGAUAUCGGGAGGAACACCAGUGGCGAAGGCGGCAUCCGUGGCCCUGUC